GCCCGGAGAUGGAUUCUGAGACACGAAUCCAGACCCUACGGGGUGCAGCAGGCGCGAAAACUUGGCAAUGCGAGAAAUCGUGACCAGGGAACUCCAAGUGGCUGGGGUAAGACCCAGUCUUUUCUUGACUCUUCAAAGGCCUUGGAAUAAGAGGUGGGUAAGGACGGUGCCAGCCGCCGCGGUAAUACCGGCGCCUCAAGUGGUAGUCGAUUUUAUUGGGCCUAAAACGUCCGUAGCCUGUUUGGUACAUUCGUGGGUAAAUCAACCAGCUUAACUGGUUGAAUUCUGCGAGCACGGCCAGACUUGGGACCGGGAGAGGUGUGGGGUACGCUCAGGGUAGGGGUAAAAUCCUGUCAUCCUGAGCGGACCACCUGUUGCGAAGGCGCCACACUAGAACGGAUCCGACGGUCAGGGACGAAGCCUAGGGGCACGAACCGGAUUAGAUACCCGGGUAGUCCUAGGUGUAAACGCUGUGGACUUGGUGUCGGGGAUUCUCCGAGGAUUUUCAGUGCCGAAGCGAAGGUGAUAAGUCCACUGCCUGGGGAGUACGGUCGCAAGGCUGAAACUUAAAGGAAUUGGCGGGGGAGCACCGCAACCUGAGGAUUGUGCGGUUUAAUUGGAUUCAACGCCGGGA
rnacentral:rRNA from 1 species